GAUGAACGCUGGCGGCGUGCCUAAUACAUGCAAGUCGAGCGAACAGACGAGGAGCUUGCUCCUCUGACGUUAGCGGCGGACGGGUGAGUAACACGUGGAUAACCUACCUAUAAGACUGGGAUAACUUCGGGAAACCGGAGCUAAUACCGGAUAAUAUAUUGAACCGCAUGGUUCAAUAGUGAAAGACGGUUUUGCUGUCACUUAUAGAUGGAUCCGCGCCGCAUUAGCUAGUUGGUAAGGUAACGGCUUACCAAGCCAACGAUGCGUAGCCGACCUGAGAGGGUGACCGCCCACACUGGACCUGAGACACGGUCCAGACUCCUACGGGAGGCAGCAGUAGGGAAUCUUCCGCAAUGGGCGAAAGCCUGACGGAGCAACGCCGCGUGAGUGAUGAAGGUCUUCGGAUCGUAAAACUCUGUUAUUAGGGAAGAACAAAUGUGUAAGUAACUAUGCACGUCUUGACGGUACCUAAUCAGAAAGCCACGGCUAACUACGUG
rnacentral:rRNA from 1 species